GACCGUAAGCCCUACAAAGCAGACACGGAAUUGUUCAACACUGUACAUUUGGAACCCAGAGAAGAAGCACACAGAGGCUGGUGCUCAUGCAGCUCUGACUAUUGAACUCAGAUGACCAGCUGAAGUUAUCUCCCUUGCCUGAGUUAGAGAACUCCCUAGCUCUCC